GACAGAGGGUGCAAACGUUGUUCGGAAUUACUGGGCGUAAAGCGCGUGUAGGUGGCUAGGUGUGUCGGAUGUGAAAUCCCAUGGCUCAACCAUGGAAGUGCACCCGAAACUGCCUGGCUGGAGUCUCGGAGAGGAAAGCGGAAUGCUCGGUGUAGAGGUGAAAUUCGUAGAUAUCGAGCAGAACACCAGUGGCGAAGGCGGCUUUCUGGACGAUGACUGACGCUGAGACGCGAAAGCGUGGGGAGCAAACAGG
rnacentral:rRNA from 1 species